rnacentral:rRNA from 1 species
AAUUCGAUUAGAGUUUGAUCCUGGCUCAGGAUGAACGCUGGCGGCGUGCCUAAUACAUGCAAGUCGAACGAAGAUCUAGCUUGCUAGAUCUUAGUGGCGAACGGGUGAGUAAUACAUAAAUAAUCUGCCCAUAUGACUGGGAUAACUAUUGGAAACGAUAGCUAAUACCGGAUAGGUUGAUCGGAGGCAUCUCUGAUGAAUUAAAGUAGGAUUUCUACACAAAUGGAUGAGUUUAUGGCGCAUUAGUUAGUUGGUGGGGUAACGGCCUACCAAGACGAUGAUGCGUAGCCGACCUGAGAGGGUGACCGGCCACACUGGGACUGAGACACGGCCCAGACUCCUACGGGAGGCAGCAGUAGGGAAUUUUCGGCAAUGGGCGCAAGCCUGACCGAGCAACGCCGCGUGAGUGAUUAAGGCCUUCGGGUUGUAAAGCUCUGUUGUAAGGGAAGAACAUUCAGGAUAGGAAAUGAUCUUGAACUGACGGUACCUUACCAGAAAGCCACGGCUAACUACGUGCCAGCAGCCGCGGUAAUACGUAGGUGGCAAGCGUUAUCCGGAAUUAUUGGGCGUAAAGGGUGCGUAGGCGGUUUAUUAAGUCUAUGGUGAAAGUGCGGGGCUCAACCCCGUAUGGCCAUAGAAACUGGUAGACUUGAGUGCAGGAGAGGGCAAUGGAAUUCCAUGUGUAGCGGUAAAAUGCGUAGAUAUAUGGAGGAACACCAGUGGCGA